rnacentral:rRNA from 1 species
AUGCCCAAAACUCAAGCGCAGAAGCUACGACUUACCUUGAGCAAGGAGCAGUUCAUGAUGGUUGUUCCUCGUUGGUGCUAUGGAAGGCAUGACGGAUGGGCGAGUUUGGUGGAUAGGUGGCUCGGCGCCGAUGCAGAGUUUGCUGCCAAGAGCAUCAAGGCCCGGGCUAACCGUGGAGACGACGGGACACACGGCCAAGGAAACAGGAACCACUGGGGCUUCUAG